ensembl:lncRNA
UAUCAGAGGACUUCCUCUUGUGACAAGGCAGCUGAUCAGCAGUGGCUGAGACAGGGAGCCCAGCAGCAGCUCUGGGGAAGAGUGGAAAUCACAUUUCCUGGAAACAAAGGAGAGAGAUAUCUCGCACGUUGCUUGCAUCUACCGUGGGAGGGAAGGCUGAAGAGGUGAAGGCUGGUGCUCAAGACUAGGAAAAGCACCGAAGGCGGAGAGAAGAACGUACUACUUAGUGCAGACAUCUGUCAGAUGGGACGUUUCACCCCCCUGGUGCCACACUUCCCCUCCUGCAGGGGGAGGACAACAACCUGUUGGGAUUCCCACAGGAAAGGGGCUGCGGAAGCGCCUCGUUAUCCUGAUGUAGAACAAUGCAG